CCUGUUACCUGGCAGGGAAGACACCUUGAUUAGGUAGGUGGUUUUCCCAGGGCGAGGCUCAUCCCUUGCACUCUGGGUGUGCUGACCCUUGCAAUUUCCCCGAAUGCAGGAAACUUGACUGCAUAAUUUGUGGCUUUAAGAAAUUUUUUUUUUUC
ensembl:snRNA U1 U1 spliceosomal RNA